UACGUAGGGUGCAAGCGUUAAUCGGAAUUACUGGGCGUAAAGCGUGCGUAGGCGGUUCGUUAAGUUCGUUGUGAAAGCCCCGGGCUCAACCUGGGAACUGCAAUGGAAACUGGCGGGCUUGAGUGUGGCAGAGGGGGGUGGAAUUCCGCGUGUAGCAGUGAAAUGCGUAGAGAUGCGGAGGAACACCGAUGGCGAAGGCAGCCCCCUGGGCCAACACUGACGCUCAGGCACGAAAGCGUGGGGAGCAAACAG
rnacentral:rRNA from 1 species